AUCAAAAUGGAGGCAGCCACCAUCCUCCCUCUAUAUAAGAGCUUGGCUUGCCACCUCCACUCCCCUUGGCUCAUUUCUUUCACACUCCACUCCCUCAUACCUUCCUCCCCCUUCCUCCCCACGAGCUGCUCCUCCUCCUUAGCUCCAUGGCCGGCCAUGGCCAUGGAAAGCCACCAAGAUGGAGCUCCCCUCCUCCCUCAAGCUUCCCCUCACCAUGAGAGCAUCUCUCUCCCUCUCUUCUCCCCUAAUCUUUGAUGAGUCCAGCUCACUUUCUCCUUUCUCCUCUCACUAGAUUGGAUCUUGAUGCAGGUGCAUGUUGGUCCAAGCAUGGAGAAGGUUGAGCUAUCCUCAGAUCUGAAGUUCUUGAGCAAAAUCCAAAUCGAGUGAUUCAAAGUUCCACAGAUAGGUACUGGAAAGAUCUACAACUUGGCGUUGGUCUCAUCCUCAAAUUCGUUACGGAUUUUGCAUGGUGAAGGCCCUCUUCAAUACCUUCAUUUUGACGGUGGUUUCACUUUGAUUGACCUCCUGAAACUGAAAUGGUUCACAGGUCAAGAUCUGGUCAGAUCUGACUUUGUCGAAUUAAACCAGGAGCUUGGGAACGAAUUUUUGAAUGGAACCAAUUGGGGGUACUUAGCUUGUGCCAUGGUGAUACCGAGAGAGGCAAUUGCUAAGUUGUGAUACUCUCAUACCUUUACUAGAUGCGAACGAUUCCGGAGAAGAUGAAGAAGUGGAUCGGACAAGGAUUUUAUUUAUGUUGUUGGGAUUCUUAUAUUGAUGGAGUUGAAGAAGUACAGGGACAAAUAAGCCAAGGCAAGCCAUCUUUUGAUCUCUGAUCCGGUGUCUAGUUGGAUGUCAUUUGUUGAUGUUCAAAGCACCUUCAUUCUAUGUGUGUUAUUAUCUCUAUUUAUGUCAUCUAUGUGUGUUUGAAAGUGGGGUACUCCCUAGUGGUGAUGCUCCACUAUUUGCCCUUGUGUUAUGGGAUGCAUGGUAGCAUGGCCGUGCUAUCCCACUUGGUUAUCUUGUAUGCUCAACUUGAGCAUGUUCCAUCUCAAGAUAGUAACUUACACCACACCCACCCCAUUUGUAGUAUAGAGGUAUCAUUGUCAUGACCUUGGGGUAUUCUCAACUUGAGAGGAGUAUGCCGUGUACCAUCUUGGAGAAUAUGUUGGAUAGUGACACUCCACUAUCUAAGUUGUGUAGUUAGCACCACAAAUCUGAGAGUAUAUUCCUCCUUGUGUUGUCAUAAUACAUGCUUAACUUAAGCAAGUAUGAUCCACUCCACUACCCCUUUAUACCUCAUCUAUGGCGGGAUGACUCUCAUCUCGGCCGUAGUGCAAUACUAGUUCAACUCAUGAAACUAUAGGUUGGGAACCCCUCAAGGUUUACCUUGUUGUAAAUAUUUAUGAAAACCUUGGGUGAGGCAACCUUACCCAAGCGUAUGGUUUAUGAAAGAAAAGGAUCUUGAGAAAGAUGGUUGGAAAGAGGAAAGUGUGGGUGUGACUUGGGUUUUUGAGAAAAACGACACAUGGUUCUUUGUAUUCGCCCGGAACAAUUACACAGCGCAACCACAUUACUCCAACGUGGGCAUGGGGCUUAGCUUGACGUUUGUUCUUCUUAGCAUGAGGCACCGCACAACUAUACAAGGGUACGGUUACCCCCGAGUCCGGGUUGUCAUUGUUGGGACAAUAGUAUAACGGGAGGCCUUCGGGGCUGACCCGUCCGGAAGACACUAUGGGUCUCCUGGCUUGGCGGUGGAGCCACGCUCAAGAGGAGGUGAGCUGCCACGGUGCCGGGGAGGUACAUACUCCAUAGGGUAGGACCUCGUGUUAAGUUGAAUGGGCGAAAGGCUUCGACUGAUUAUCCGAGACUCGCAUACUUUCGUAUGACGAACCAGGGAUGAUCCCGGCGGAUUUAUCAGAUCUUGUGGGGAAAGUGCGCACACUCUGCAGAGUUAAAACUAUUCGAAUAGCCGCGUCCGCGGUCAUGGACGGUUGGGAUGGCCGUUACCGAGCUGUGUCGAGUUUUGGUUUUGAAAAUGAUUUCCAAAGGAAAUGCGUGUGUUGGAAGUACCGGAAGGGUACGGGAAAGAUGUUGUGCCGACCAUGUGGAGAUGGUUGAGGAAAGUGAAACAAAAUUGGGUGACCCUUCCUAGUGUUUUCAUGUAGAGGAACUCUUCUUCAAUAGAGAUAUAGAGAUGUCUUAGAUAAAUUCUUGGAGUGUCCCCUUCGAUUGAGAAGUUGGGAUGCUAUCUCCACCAAAAACAUCUCUUCUCUUCCACAUGCUAUAUCCACAAGAGAAACUACUCUUCCUCUCUUGUCUUCUUUAGUUAGAAUUGUUAUCACCCUCUUGGUGGUUUGCGAGUACAAUUCAAAUGUACUCACGGCUUUGUCCCUGGCU